UGACCUCGGAUCAGGUAGGACUACCCGCUGAACUUAAGCAUAUCAAUA
rnacentral:rRNA from 8 species